UCCGGGGUGAUGAGUUGCGCCUGUAGGUGGUGCUGUUCUGCAGUGGCGGAACGGCUCCACUCUGACUCCUGACGACAAGCCGAGUGCACAGGGGCCAUCUGACCGGCA